rnacentral:rRNA from 1 species
AACUGCCUUUCUGCGGGAAGAAUCUCCCGGAUUAGUUUCGGGAUUGACGGUACCGCAGGAUAAGCAUCGGCUAACUCCGUGCCAGCAGCCGCGGUAAUACGGAGGAUGCAAGCGUUAUCCGGAUUCAUUGGGUUUAAAGGGUGCGCAGGCGGUGGAGCAAGUCAGUGGUGAAAGCCCGAAGCUCAACUUCGGGAUUGCCAUUGAAACUGUUUCACUUGAGUGUAGUCGAGGACGGCGGAAUGAGUUGUGUAGCGGUGAAAUGCAUAGAUAUAACUCAGAACACCAAUUGCGAAGGCAGCUGUCUAGACUAUAACUGACGCUGAGGCACGAAAGCGUGGGGAGCGAACAGGAUUAGAUACCCUGGUAGUCCACGCAGUAAACGAUGAUCACUCGUUGUUGGCUACUUGGUAGUCAGUGACUAAGGGAACCGUUAAGUGAUCCACCUGGGGAGUACGUCGGCAACGAUGAAACUCAAAGGAAUUGACGGGGGCCCGCACAAGCGGAGGAACAUGUGGUUUAAUUCGAUGAUACGCGAGGAACCUUACCUGGGCUUAAAUGCAGGCUGCAUUCCCCUGAAAGGGGGAUUUCCUACGGGACCGCCUGCAAGGUGCUGCAUGGUUGUCGUCAGCUCGUGCCGUGAGGUGUCGGGUUAAGUCCCAUAACGAGCACAACCCCUAUCGUUAGUUGCCAGCAUGUAAUGGUGGGGACUCUAGCGAGACUGCCGGUGUAAACCGGAGGAAGGUGGGGAUGACGUCAAAUCAGCACGGCCCUUACGUCCAGGGCUACACACGUGUUACAAUGGCCGGUACAAAGAGCAGCCACCUGGCGACAGGGUGCUAAUCUUCAAAGCCGGUCUCAGUUCGGAUCGAAGUCUGCAAUUCGACUUCGUGAAGGUGGAUUCGCUAGUAAUCGCGCAUCAGCCAUGGCGCGGUGAA